rfam:Sorghum bicolor cultivar BTx623 chromosome 4, whole genome shotgun sequence.
UUGUAACACGGGCCGGUGCUAAAGGGGCCUUCCCAAUGGCUACUGACAGGUGUUGUCGGGACAGGGACCCUUUAGCACCGGUUCUUGUUACCAA